CAAUUAUGACGGCAAAUUCAACGAGUCAUCCACUCCUUCCCCAAAAAGUAAAAGCCAGAAGCAGAUAGUAGGAUACAGAAAAAAGAAACGCUCUCACUUCCUCUCAUACUUCGCGUCUCCAACUCCACACAGCCAAAAAAAAAAGCAUCGUUUUUGCCGAUUCGCUUAGCUGGGGGUUCUGUUCGAGGAAAUAGGGCUUUUCUGGUUUGCAAGGUUACUUAGGGGUACAUGGAGAUUUCAAAUUUCGAAACGAAUAUUCAAGCUCCAUUAGGUAUUGUUAAUCUGAAGGAGGACGAUAAGGAUGUGGUUCUAGAGCAGAAGCACGCAGUUGACUGGGUCUACAGAGGCGAAGGAGCUGCUAAUCUUGUUCUCGCAUACACCGGAUCAUCUCACUCGUUUAUAGGGAAAGUAAUGCGGAUACCGAAGGCGCCGAGGAACGGGUCGCCGCACGUGAGGAGUCCGACGGCGUUGAGCACGCAGGAACGGCUACUAUGGAGAGACGUAGACGGCAUCGUAUCGUCCCCAAACAAAGAAAUUGCUGCCCAACUAUAUGUGCAGCACGUCAUGAGCCCUCUCCUGGGUUCCGAACAUGUUGAUGCCGGGAUGCGUGUCCUUGUGUCCAGGGAAUUCCUGGAGUCGGUUGAGAAAAAUGUUAUAUGUCAGCGUCCUGCUUGGCGAGUUGAUGCUGCCAAGGCUGAUACGGAUCGCGAUUCUGUGCUUCUCCUAACUGAUCAUUCGCUUUUUCCUGGCGGUACCCUCAACGGUAAACUCUGUGUAUCUGUUGAAAUAAAGCCCAAAUGUGGAUUUCUCCCUUUUUCAAGAUUCAUAUCAGAAAGAAAUGCCAUUAAACGGAGCAUUACUCGAUUUAGAAUGCACCAAGCCUUGAAGUUGCAUCAAGGAGAGAUAUCAGAAUUAAGCGAAUAUGAUCCCAUCGAUCUGUUCUCUAAGUGCAAGGAAAGGAUAGAUAAAGCUAUUAUCAGUCUCUUUAACACCCCUCAGAAUAAUUUCAGGGUAUUCUUGAAUGGUUCUCUCAUAUUUGGGGCCUUGGGUGCUGGUGCGAACAGUACUAGUUUUGUGAUUAGUGAAGCAUUUGAAGAUGCGCUCAAGUCUGUCAUCUGGGCAGAUAAUAACCUGCGUACAAAGAAUUUCCUACAGCUUGUUUCCGAGACAGUUUAUAAGUCUGGAGUACUGGAUCGGCUUCUUGAGAUCCAGAAGCUUGAUAAUUUUGACAUAGAAGGAGCAGUUCAUGCAUAUUAUGACAUCAUUUAUGAGUCUUGUCCAGUAUGCAGAGAAUCUGGUGGAGACAAAAUUUCACAGAUAUAUACAUCUUUGCAUUCCAUUCCUUUGGAUGAAAGCUUGAAGAUUGUAAAGGACUAUUUGAUAGCGGCAACCGCAAAAGACUGUAGCCUAAUAAUUAGUUUUAGACCAAGUGAAGAUGGUUAUUCAGGAUCUCCAUAUAAUAAAAUACACCUAGACGCAACCAACCAAAUCUUUGAUUACAAGGCAUCUUUCAUUGACCUAGAUUUGAAACCUUUGAAGAAGAUGGAAGACUAUUAUGAGUUAGACAAGAAGAUUGUGAACUGCUACACUCGUAUGGUGGAAGCAGAAAGAAGCAUAAAAGCUAAUACGACUUAAAGAAACUCAACAUCAUGCAUAGAGGAUAAUUCUGACUGAGGAUUCUAUUGGGAACAUUACACUGAAGCAGCAGUUAACCCGACGCUAGAGCCUAUUCUCACAGCAGAAGCUGGAGUGAUGGAAGACUGUGAGCUCUGUUCGAGAAGUCCUGAUAUUUUAAUCAGCUUAGUGAAAUGCUUUUGCGGUCCAAUUAUGUUUGCCUGCAGCUUUACUGAAUCACGUGCUCAACAACUUGCUCCUGAGCAGUGAAAAGAAAACUGUGGUGUCAGUGGAACUGCUGUGUUCGAAGUGCAGGCAGAAGGUAAUGAAGUUAGUUGCAACAAUAGAAGGAAUAACUUCUAUAUUGCUUGACCCUUCAAAGAGUACGGUGACAAUAAUUGGAGAAGCUGAUCCAGUGACAAUCAUCAAGAAGGUCAGAAAAUUCAGAAAAUCUGCCACAGUAGUCAGUGUAGGUCCUCAAAAAGAAGAGAAGAAGGAUGAGAAGAAAGAUCUUCUUUUUACACCAAAGACAUGUCAGAGAUGUGAUGUGUGGUAUGUGAUUGCUGAAGAUUAUUACAAUUAUUGUUCCAUUAUGUAACCAAAUCAAGUAAGUCACUUUUCUUGAAUCCUUUGUGUUUACUGUUCGUUCCUUUGCAUGUAUUUCGUACUGCAAGAGUAGAUCGCAUAUGCCAUCCCAUUUGCAUAUAAUGUGAAUAUGCAUUGUUCUAUGGAUAUUGAAUGCUUCUCUCUUCUUUGAAUCAAAAGCAGCUCUGUUGCGAUCU